AAUCCAAGGAUUCAGUGGAUGCAUGCAAUUAGUGUGCUCAGCUUAGAGUUUAUGUCAAACUGGCUCCUGCCAUGUUUUCACAUCUGAGCGUAAAAAAACACACAUUCACCAGCAGAAAUAUUGAAGAAUCAGCAGUUCCCAGGGUUCAGGAGUUGGAGUGUUUACAGCUCAGUCCUCUGACUUUCAGAAAGCUCCUCGGAUUAACCGCAACUCUGACAGAGAUCUGGUUUCUUUUCCUGCAGAGAGCUGAGCUAGGAUGGUUAGCAAAGGCCCUGAAGCGCUGGAGUUUUUAGAUUCACUGUGAUGUUCCAUAGAUCCAGUAAACAGCACCAGUACAGUCAGAAGACAAUGGAGAAGAUAGAAAACAGGAGGCUGGGAAUGAAAAGCCAAAUUGGAAGCAAAAUAAUGAUGUUAGCAGGAAAACUAUCUUUGUUUCUCAAGUGAAGUCACAAGGGCAGUUCUCAACUGCAGUACAAUGGUGUAGAUUCUCAGCCAUCCAGGACAUGACCAUCCCAAGCGCUUCAGCAGAAGCCAACUGGAUUUCUUCUCUUGCUUCUUGAAGACGUCUCACCUCCCAUCCUGAAAGCUUCUUCAGGGCUGAACAUGGUUGGAACUGACAGGCUUAUAUUUUACAUUGUAGUCAAAACAAUCACACUAAUAGGGCCAUUAGGGUCACUAAUGGGGCAAUUAGGACACGUGAGUUAUUGGGCCUACCCUCUAUUGCAAAUAUUUGGAUUGUAGUUGCUUGAUGGUCCAAACAUGACCCUUAUGAUGCCAUGUGAGUUGUUUUGGUCACAUUUUCAAAAUGUGAUCUGCUGUAAAACUGGGGAGACCGGGUUGUAGUCUGUUUGGGAUCAGAAAAUGUGUGCUUUUCCUAACAGGACAACAAAGUGACUUUUAAAACACUCAUUGAAAGUGCAUUUGUACUUUUUAUUUUCAAAGAGCUUCUCAAGUUCUGGAUUAAUGCUUUAGUUGGUGAAAUAACAGCCUCCCACUCAUCAUAAAUUUGAGAUAUACUGUUUUACCAUUAUUCAUGGUAAAGGUAUUCAGUGAUGUAAUUUAAGGAACACACCCAUGAGAAAAAACUGCCCUUUAACUUUAAUAAGUAUAAUAUCCUUUCACAUGAACAAACCAUGAAGGUAAUGUGCCUUACACAUGAUUAAUAGAUGCCUGUUAUGAGGACAUCUUAUUGUCUGGAUGCCACAGCUACAUGUUAUGUUUUAGUGGGAAAGUAUGCAUUAUAAAAACAGCUCAGGAAAACCUUUUAUGAGAUUUUUCCUCUAAACGCUUGAACAUUUAAUGUAAAAUUGGUGAGGGAAAAUUCACAGCCCUGUUUCUGUAAAAAGUAUUCCACAACUAUUAAAUUUCACUUUCUAUUUUUUGUCAAAAAAAAGCAAUGUUUAAUAAACUAUGAAGUAAAAAGUAUUAAUCUGACUGUAUCUUACAGGUGAAUCUCAAUAAAUUACAAUAUCAUGAAAUAUAUUUGUCAUUUAUAAUCAUUUAUCUUUGUUGAUUUGAAUGAUUGUGGCAUACAGCAAAUGUAAAUUAGAAUAUUACUAAACAAGAUCAAUAAAAAAAUCAUUUUGCACGAAUUACUGCAUCGAUGCAGCAUAGCAUGAAGGCGAUUCGUCUGUGGUUCUGCUGAGGGGUAACGGAAGCCCAGCUUGCUUUGAUUGCGGCC